rnacentral:rRNA from 1 species
GAGUUUGAUCCUGGCUCAGGAUGAACGCUGGCGGCGUGCUUAACACAUGCAAGUCGAGCGAUGAAGCUUCUUCGGGAGUGGAUUAGCGGCGGACGGGUGAGUAACACGUGGGUAACCUGCCUCAUAGAGGGGAAUAGCCUUUCGAAAGGAAGAUUAAUACCGCAUAAGAUUGUAGUACCGCAUGGUACAGCAAUUAAAGGAGUAAUCCGCUAUGAGAUGGACCCGCGUCGCAUUAACUAGUUGGUGAGGUAACGGCUCACCAAGGCGACGAUGCGUAGCCGACCUGAGAGGGUGAUCGGCCACAUUGGGACUGAGACACGGCCCAGACUCCUACGGGAGGCAGCAGUGGGGAAUAUUGCACAAUGGGGGAAACCCUGAUGCAGCAACGCCGCGUGAGUGAUGACGGCCUUCGGGUUGUAAAACUCUGUCUUUGGGGACGAUAAUGACGGUACCCAAGGAGGAAGCCACGGCUAACUACGUGCCAGCAGCCGCGGUAAUA